GAAGUGCGAACCAAGACGCGGCGACAACCGCGUAAGACUUGGAGCGGGCGACCGUAAGGGUGCCCUGCA
rnacentral:ncRNA from 1 species